CUAGCUGUAGCUCAGUUGGUUAGAGCGCUGCACCGAAAUCUCAGGGCCGUAGGUUGAAUUCCUACCAGAGG
rnacentral:tRNA from 1 species